rnacentral:rRNA from 1 species
GUAGGGAAUCUUCGGCAAUGGACGAAAGUCUGACCGAGCAACGCCGCGUGAGUGAAGAAGGUUUUCGGAUCGUAAAACUCUGUUGUUAGAGAAGAACGUUGUGUAGAGUGGAAAAUUACACAAGUGACGGUAUCUAACCAGAAAGGGACGGCUAACUACGUGCCAGCAGCCGCGGUAAU